rnacentral:rRNA from 1 species
UACAGAGGGGGCAAGCGUUAUUCGGAAUUAUUGGGCGUAAAGGGCGCGUAGGCGGCGUGGUAAGUCACUUGUGAAAUCUCUGAGCUUAACUCAGAACGGCCAAGUGAUACUGCUGUGCUAGAGUGCAGAAGGGGCAAUCGGAAUUCUUGGUGUAGCGGUGAAAUGCGUAGAUAUCAAGAGGAACACCUGAGGUGAAGACGGGUUGCUGGGCUGACACUGACGCUGAGGCGCGAAAGCCAGGGGAGCAAACGGG